UACGAAGGGGGCUAGCGUUGCUCGGAAUCACUGGGCGUAAAGGGUGCGUAGGCGGGUCUUUAAGUCAGGGGUGAAAUCCUGGAGCUCAACUCCAGAACUGCCUUUGAUACUGAAGAUCUUGAGUUCGGGAGAGGUGAGUGGAACUGCGAGUGUAGAGGUGAAAUUCGUAGAUAUCGGGAGGAACACCAGUGGCGAAGGCGACUACCUGGCCUGUUCUUGACGCUGAGGCGCGAAAGCUAGGGGAGCAAACGGGG
rnacentral:rRNA from 1 species